rnacentral:rRNA from 1 species
GUUAAGCAACGUUGGGUUUGUUAGUACUUGGAUGGGUGACCGCCUGGGAAUACCAAAUGCUGUUGUCU